rnacentral:rRNA from 1 species
CCUACGGGAGGCAGCAGUAGGGAAUAUUGCACAAUGGGGGAAACCCUGAUGCAGCGACGCCGCGUGAGUGAAGAAGUAUUUCGGUACGUAAAACUCUGUUAGCAGGGAGGAACAUACGUGUAAGUAACUAUGCACGUCCUGCGAAUUACGUACCAGCAGCCGAGGUAAUACGUCGGGGGCAAGCGUUAUCCAGAUGUACUGUGUGAAAAGGUAUCGUGGACGGUUGUGCAUGUCUGGAGUGAAAGCCCAUGGCUUAACCAUGGAAGAGAUUUGGAAACUGGACAGCUAGAGUGCAGGAGAGGUAAGCGGAAUUCCUAGUGUAGCGGUGAAAUGCGUAGAGAUUAGGAGGAACACCAGUGGCGAAGGCGGCUUACUGGACUGUAACUGACGUUGAGGUUCGAAAGCGUGGGGAGCAAACGGGAUUAGAUACCCGAGUAGUC